rnacentral:rRNA from 1 species
GCCUGUUUAUCAAAAACAUGGCUCUUUGUGGUAGAUAGAUAAAGAGUCGGACCUGCCCGGUGAUGAUUUUAACGGCCGCGGUACCCUGACCGUGCAAAGGUAGCAUAAUCAUUUGCCUUGUAAUUUAAGGCUAGUAUGAAAGGUUUGACAAGAAUAUAACUGUCUCCUUUUGGUUAAUUAGAAUUUUACUUUUAGGUGAAGAGGCCUAAAUAUUAUUAAUAGACAAGAAGACCCUAUCGAGCUUUAAAACAAUUAGUAGAUUAAAACGAAAUAAAGGUAAAAUUAAAUCACUAAAAAUUUUAGUUGGGGCGACUAAGGAACAGAAAAAGCUUCCUUUAAAAAUUUUACAUUCAAGUAACGAUCCAGAAAAAUUCUGAUUAAAGGAAUUAGUUACCGUAGGGAUAACAGCAUUAUCUUUUUUGAGAGCUCUUAUCGAAAAAAAGGUUUGUGACCUCGAUGUUGGACCAGAAUAUCCCGAAGGUGCAGUAGCCUUCAAAGGUUGGUCUGUUCGACCAUUAAAAUUCUACGUGAUCUGAGUUCA